rnacentral:tRNA from 1 species
UCCUGCCCGAGUAUCAGGUGGACCGCACCGGCUUGAAGCGGGUGGCGAUGUCGAACGUGGCGGGGUACUCCAACGUUCCGGUUCGUCGGGCGAGCU